rnacentral:rRNA from 1 species
GACGAACGCUGGCGGCGUGCUUAACACAUGCAAGUCGAACGGAAAGGCCCUGCUUUUGUGGGGUGCUCGAGUGGCGAACGGGUGAGUAACACGUGAGUAACCUGCCCUUGACUUUGGGAUAACUUCAGGAAACUGGGGCUAAUACCGGAUAGGAGCUCCUGCUGCAUGGUGGGGGUUGGAAAGUUUCGGCGGUUGGGGAUGGACUCGCGGCUUAUCAGCUUGUUGGUGGGGUAGUGGCUUACCAAGGCUUUGACGGGUAGCCGGCCUGAGAGGGUGACCGGCCACAUUGGGACUGAGAGACGGCCCAGACUCCUACGGGGGGCAGAAGUGGGGAAUAUUGCACAAUGGGCGGAAGCCUGAUGCAGCAACGCCGCGUGCGGGAUGACGGCCUUCGGGUUGUAAACCGCUGUCGCCUGUGACGAAGCGUGAGUGACGGUAAUGGGUAAAGAAGCACCGGCUAACUACGUG